GACGAACGCUGGCGGCGUGCUUAACACAUGCAAGUCGAACGGAAAACCUCUUCGGAGGGUACCAGUGGCGCACGGGUGAGUAACACGUGGGCAACCUGCCCCCGGCUCUGGGAUAACUCCAAGAAAUUGGGGCUAAUACCGGAUGUUCACAGCUUCCCGCCUGGGUGGUGGUGGAAAGGGUUUCCGGCUUGGGAUGGGCCCGCGGCUUAUCAGCUUGUUGGUGGGGUAGUGGCCUACCAAGGCCAUGACGGGUAGCCGGCCUGAGAGGGUGACCGGCCACAUUGGGACUGAGAUACGGCCCAGACUCCUACGGGAGGCAGCAGUGGGGAAUAUUGCGCAAUGGGCGGAAGCCUGAUGCAGCGACGCCGCGUGGGGGAUGACGGCCUUCGGGUUGUAAACCGCUUUCAGCAGGGACGAAGCGUGAGUGACGGGAACUGGAGAAGAAGCAACGGCCAACUACGGG
rnacentral:rRNA from 1 species